AACCUGGUCACUGCAGAAGACACAAGACUGCCUGGGCACAGGAAAGCACUCAGCACCAGGCCAGGUACACCACAGGUGCGAGAAAGUCACAAGUGGAACUUGAAUGAGCUCUGGCUGCCGCUGAAACUCUCUGCUUUCCCUACAGGGACAAAUUCCCAGGGGCCCAUGGUGAUCCACAGUGAUCAAAGAGAAAGGCUGUCUGUGACCUCUAUGGUGGCACCUCACUCAUCCCUUCAGAGAAAGCCCUUGCCCUCUGCCUACCCUAACCUCAGGAUUCCUUGCAGACUCAAAGACAAAUGAGGCUCCCUGCCUGGCUCCUUCUCUCAGCAGUCUCCCGCUUGACCAGAGGCCUCCAAGCUUACACUCAAACAAAAUCUUCAAUAAAAUGACCUCCAAAUCCUCUCCAU
rnacentral:lncRNA from 1 species